GGAAGGAUCAUUAAAGUGUUGUGAUCGUCAGCCCCCGGAAUCCUCAUAGGGAUCGGGGCCGAUCCCUCCCACCCGUGUGUAUUUAUACUUUGUUGCUUUGGCGGGCCGCCGCAAGGCUACCGGCCCCGGCUGGUGCGCGCCCGCCAGAGGUUGUCAAACUCUGAAUGUUAGUGUCGUCUGAGUACUAUACAAUAGUUAAAACUUUCAACAACGGAUCUCUUGGUUCUGGCAUCGAUGAAGAACGCAGCGAAAUGCGAUAAUUAAUGUGAAUUGCAGAAUUCAGUGAAUCAUCGAAUCUUUGAACGCACAUUGCGCCCCUUGGUAUUCCGGGGGGCAUGCCUGUUCGAGCGUCAUUUCAACCCUCAAGCUCUGCUUGGUAUUGGGCCCUGCCGGCGACGGCAGGCCUUAAAAACAGUGGCGGCGCCCUGAGGCCCUGAGCGUAGUACAUCUCUCGCUACAGGACCCUCUAGGACGCUGGCCAUCAACCCCCAAUCUUUCUAUGGUUGACCUCGGAUCAGGUAGGGAUACCCGCUGAACUUAA
rnacentral:sRNA from 1 species